CGAAAUCUGAAUGCAUGUGACUGAAAUUGGCUCUCUGUGAUUAUUUAUACAAAGAUUGGUACGUCAGCAAGAAAAGUUUUCUUCCUGGGGAGAAAUACAAGCAAACAUGAAGACAAGAGGACUCAGCGUGAUCCAUGUAAUGCUCUCCUUUCCCUGACGUGUACUCAAGAAUCAGCUAUCUCACAGGUAAUAAAUAUUUUCUUCCUAGUUAUGACACAACUUUUCUCUY
rnacentral:lncRNA from 1 species